CACAGGUCAUUAAAAUGUUCUCUUCCUCAUUUUCUCUUUUUGGUUGGUUUGUUUGCUUAAAUAGGACUCUAGGACCGAGGAAUAUGAAGAAACAGAAGAAGAAUUUCUUAAAAGGUAUGCUAAAGCAGCUGAGGCAUUGGAAAAUGGUUCAGUUAUUGAAGAAGGGACGAUGAAGACCAGGAACUGGAGCUGGAAAUAGGUAAUGUCGCGCCUCUCUCAGAGUCGAGCCCCACUUGCUGUCAUCAUUCGUCGUGGUCGGAGACAACACCAACGUCACUAACGGAGGCAUUUUUUUUUUCCGGAGUAUUGCAGAUUUGGUUUGCUUAGUCGCUGCUGCUGCGUUGUGUUGCAGUGACACGCAUGGUGGCUAGAAGCUGCGGGUGGAUCACGAUGCAGAUCUGCAUUUUUUUGGAGAUGGAGUAGAAGAUAACACCGAUCUUUUGGCGCGAUACUCCUGGAAGCGACCCUGGUGAAAAACGACGCCAACCAACCUAGGCUGCUGCCGCCGUCCCCGAUCGGAGUUGUCCCCGGCGCCUCGUACAUGGGAGAGAUGAAGAAGCUGAAGAACACACCUUUUUGUUCCGAAUUGAGCCAUCCGAAGUGUACUUUCCAGAUCUGUAAACAUCACUACGUUGCGUGUUAUUUACGAGAGAAAAACUGUGAAUAUGGUGCAGUGAUGUUUGGGGAAAAUAAUGGGGUUGGAUAGAAUAAGUAAUUAGGGUUUAAGUGAGGGUAAAAGAGAAAUUGUAGAAGUUACGGGGCAGGAAGAAAACAAGAGGUGCAGGAAGAAAUUAUCCAAUAAAAAACGAUGUAAGUAACACAUGCGAGAGUUACUCUCUCAACCACCACUCCUACACCUAUUUUUUUUUUCCUUCAAUAAUAUUAGAAGGAAGGUAAAUAUGUUACAUUAUAUAUCCGUUGAAGACGGAUAUUCUUAAAAUAAGAUAUAAGUUGUGUAAUAUCUUAUUUUCUUAA